UUAGGGGCAAGGUAUGUGAAUAAGUACAAACCUUGUGUUACUAAUUUUAUUCAAUUGGAUUUUAAUCCAUCAUGUACCUAUGUGUGGCUAUUGUUAAUUGAAUGCUAAGGGCUUUUGCCAACCUAGUCUAUGAAGUUCAUAUAAACUUUGUUUCACUUUUUAAGUUUCUAAUACAAUUGGAGAAAACGUGGAUUGAACAUAAUCUACUAGCAUCCUAUACCCCCUACCUCCUGCAGUAGGGGCAAAUGGCUU
rnacentral:misc_RNA from 1 species